GGUAGGAUAGCUCAGCAGGUUGGAGCGUGGUGCUGGUAACACUGAGGUCAUGGGUUCAAUCCCCGUACUGGUCA
rnacentral:tRNA from 1 species